UACAGAGGUGGCAAGCGUUGCUCGGGAUCACUGGGCUUAAAGGGCGCGUAGGCGGUGCGGUACGGUUUCGGUGAAAUCCCUCGGCCCAACCGAGGAACAGCCGGAGCUACGGCCGGACUAGACGGCAUCAGGGGACAGUGGAACUCCCGGUGGAGCGGUGAAAUGCGUAGAUAUCUGAAGGAACAUCAGUGGCGAAAGCGACUUCCUGGACCAAUACUGACGCUCAUGUGCGAAAGCGUGGGGAGCAAACAGG
rnacentral:rRNA from 1 species